UACGUAGGGUGCAAGCGUUGUCCGGAAUUAUUGGGCGUAAAGAGCUCGUAGGCGGUUUGUCGCGUCUGCUGUGAAACUCGGGGCUUAACUCCGGGCCGUGCAGUGGGUACGGGCAGACUAGAGUGCGGUAGGGGAGACUGGAAUUCCUGGUGUAGCGGUGAAAUGCGCAGAUAUCAGGAGGAACACCGGUGGCGAAGGCGGGUCUCUGGGCCGUAACUGACGCUGAGGAGCGAAAGCGUGGGGAGCGAACAGG
rnacentral:rRNA from 1 species